UUCCAAAAUCCAAAUAGGAUUAUCUAAACUAUCCUUAAACACACACACACACACACACUCUCUUCCCUCUUGCAUACAAGCAUGUACACUCAUCGUUUGAACGGUGAAUUAUUAACUCAGAAGAGCAAGGAAAAUUACAAAUGACAGCUUCACCUCCAGUCAAAUAGCAAACCGACAUGUCUUUUGUCAAUUUAACUAUCAGCUUCGUGCAGAUGUACAAGAAAGAAAACAACAUCUGCAGCCAUGAAGUUGUAAACACAUCAAUUGGAUAGCAGCUUAGGGAUCUGAUAUUUUCAGCCUGCAAUCAAUCAGCCUUCCAGACUUUUGAAUAUGGGACAUUUAUCAUCCUAAGAUUGAAAGGAGAUGACUGUGGACUACAGGAAAAGGAGGACUGAGCCCGCCUCCAUUCUCAUCGACGGGUCUGUAGUGGAGCAGGUUGAGUGAGAGUUUCAAGUUCCUUGGUGUCCACGUCACCAACAAACGAACAUGGUCCAAGCACACCAAGAAAACCUGUUCCCCCUCAGGAGACUGAAAAGAUUUGGCAUGGGUCCUCAAAAGGGGAGCCUGACAUUGUAGUGCAAAGCUGAACGCCGCUGUGAGGGGAGACCAGGAACCGGACAAAGUGAAGGAAAGAAAAAGAAAAGCGUGAGACAAAAAGAAAGACAGAAAGCAAGCUGCAAUUAGAGAGGCUUUCUGUGUGGCUUUACUGGCCGUGGUGGGCUCCUAGCCUAGUUUAUUGUUCCCCCAGAUGCU